AGAGUUGAUCUGCUCCAGACGACGCCUGGCGGCGGUGCUACACAUGCAAGUCGACGAGGUCCAUCCGAUCUCGGAUUGGUGAAGACCUAGUGGCGAACGGGUGCGUAACACGUGAGAAACCUGCCCCGGUCUCUGGGAUAACAGUUGGAAACGACUGCUAAUACCGGAUGCCGUCGGACCGUCGCAUGGCGGACCGACGAAAGGGUUACCGGACCGGGAGGGUCUCGCGGCCUAUCAGCUAGUUGGUGAGGUAACGGCUCACCAAGGCAUCGACGGGUAGCUGGUCUGAGAGGAUGAUCAGCCACACUGGGACUGAGACACGGCCCAGACUCCUACGGGAGGCAGCAGUGGGGAAUAUUGCACAAUGGGCGAAAGCCUGAUGCAGCAACGCCGCGUGCGGGAUGAAGGCCCUAGGGUUGUAAACCGCUUUCAGCAGGGAAGAAAAUGACGGUACCUGUAGAAGAAGGUGCGGCCAACUACGUGCCAGCAGCCGCGGUGACACGUAGGCACCAAGCGUUGUCCGGAUUUAUUGGGCGUAAAGAGCUCGUAGGCGGUUCAGUAAGUCGGGUGUGAAAACUCUGGGCUCAACCCAGAGACGCCACCCGAUACUGCUGUGACUAGAGUGCGGUAGGGGAGCGGGGAAUUCCUAGUGUAGCGGUGAAAUGCGCAGAUAUUAGGAGGAACACCAGUGGCGAAGGCGCCGCUCUGGGCCGUAACUGACGCUGAGGAGCGAAAGCGUGGGUAGCAAACAGGAUUAGAUACCCUGGUAGUCCACGCCGUAAACGUUGGGCACUAGGUGUGGGUCUCAACCAACGAGAUCCGCGCCGUCGCUAACGCAUUAAGUGCCCCGCCUGGGGAGUACGGUCGCAAGGCUAAAACUCAAAGGAAUUGACGG
rnacentral:rRNA from 1 species